AAUCCUUUUGGGGUCUGCAGAACCCGUCGGGGUCCGUGGAAUCUUUUGGGGUCAAUAAAACCUUGGGGGCUGUGGGAACUUUUGGGGUCCCUAAAACCCUUCAGGGGCCAUAAAAUCCUUUUGGGGUCGAUAGAAACUGAGGGUCUCUGGAGCCUUUUGGGGGUCUGUGGAGCCUUUUGGGGUCUGGGGGACUUUGGGGUCUGUGGGACACUUUGGGGUCUGUGGGACACUUUGGGGUCUGUGGGAUCUUUUGGGGUCUCUGGGAUCCUUUGGGGUCUGUGGGAUCUUUUGGGGUCUCUGGGAUCCUUUGGGGUCUGUGGGACACUUUGGGGUCUCUGGGAUCCUUUGGGGUCUCUGGGAUCUUUGGGGUCUCUGGGAUCUUUUGGGG
rnacentral:lncRNA from 1 species